rnacentral:rRNA from 1 species
GAUGAACGCUAGCGACAGGCCUAACACAUGCAAGUCGAGGGGCAGCACAUGAGUAGCAAUACGAUGGUGGCGACCGGCGCACGGGUGAGUAACACGUAUGCAACCUGCCUUCUACUAUGGGAUAACCCGUUGAAAGACGGACUAAUACCGUAUAAUACAGGGGCUCCGCAUGGAGAAAUUUGCUAAAGAUUUAUUGGUAGAAGAUGGGCAUGCGUAUGAUUAGAUAGUUGGUGAGGUACCGGCUCACCAAGUCAACGAUCAUUAGGGGUUCUGAGAGGAAGGUCCCCCACACUGGUACUGAGACACGGACCAGACUCAUACGGGAGGCAGCAGUGAGGAAUAUUGGUCAAUGGACGAGAGUCUGAACCAGCCAAGUCGCGUGAAGGAAGACGGUUCUAUGAAUUGUAAACUUCUUCUGUGCAGGAAUAAAGUGGGUUACGUGUAACCUUUGUAUGUACUGUACGAAUAAGGAUCGGCUAACUCCGUGCCAGCAGCCGCCGUAAAAC